AAAAAGUCGGGCCCUCACUCCCUAACUCUCUCAUUCUCUCUUCAACGGGUUGCUCAAUCUUCAGUGCUAGAGUCCGGAGCUCCAAGGCAGAUUGGAAGUAUCCAUGGCAGAUUGGGAACUCAAAUUUUGAUUUCAUCAUCAAUUCAUUAAAGAAGAAUCUCGGCUGUCGAUUCACUUCUCUUCCGAAUUCUCGCUCACCUGGUAUCAAAAACCCUAGGGAUAUUGUAUUAAAUGCUUAGAUCAAUGAAAAUUGGGGGCUCAAAAUCAAUGUGGAAGGUGCCCAUCAUGGACAAAGUGACUGUCAAAAUAAUGUCUUACUUAUGCAAGAUGGCAGAUAUCAUAGAAGGAAGGAGUUUCAUGACAAGGAAGCUUGAUGCAUGUCAAAGCUAUGAGAAAUGGUGGAACAACACUCAUUCAAGAAGGAAGAGGAUUAUGAUUGUACUUUUAUCUUCCCACAUUAUUUCCCAUUUAGUCCAUAUGAGAAUGGUAAUAUAAUGCACUUGUGUGAUAUGAGUUCAUGAAACCAUAAAAGGGUAAAAGAAUACCAUGCAACCAAAUAAUGGA